rnacentral:rRNA from 1 species
UACGUAGGGUGCGAGCGUUGCCCGGAUUUAUUGGGCGUAAAGGGCGCGUAGGCGGUCACGCACGUCCGUUGUGAAAUCGCUCGGCUCAACUGGGCGGGGUCAGCGGAUACGGCGUGGCUGGAGCAAGCUAGGGGGCAAUGGAAUUCCACGUGUAGCAGUGAAAUGCGUAGAGAUGUGGAGGAACACCGAUGGCGAAGGCAGCCCCCUGGGUCAAGAUUGACGCUCAUGCACGAAAGCGUGGGGAGCAAACAGG